GCAUUGGUGGUACAGUGGCAGGAUUCUCCCCUUCCAUGUGGGAGACCCAGGUUCAAUUCCUGGCCAGUACA
rnacentral:tRNA from 1 species